rnacentral:rRNA from 1 species
GGUUUGAUUCUGGCUCAGAUUGAACGCUGGCGGGAUGCUUUACACAUGCAAGUCGAACGGCAGCACGGAUCAGUCUGUGGCGAGUGGCGAACGGGUGAGUAAUGUAUCUGGAACGCCUAGUAGCGGGGAUAACUACGCGAAAGCGUAGCCAAUACCGCAUACGCCCUUCGGGGAAAGCGGGGACCUUCGGGCUCCCGCACCAUUAGAGCGGCCGAUAUCGGAUUAGCUAGUUGGUGGGGUAACGGCUCACCAAGGCGACGAUCCGUAGCUGGUUUGAGAGGACGACCAGCCACACUGGGACUGAGACACGGCCCAGACUCCUACGGGAGGCAGCAGUGGGGAAUUUUGGACAAUGGGGGAAACUCCUGAUCCAGCCAUCCCGCGUGUGCGAUGAAGGCCUUCGGGUUGUGUAAAGCACUUUGGCAGGAAGAAACGGCACGGAUAAUACCUCGCGCAACUGACGGUACCUUGCAGAAUAAGCACCGGCUAACCACCGUGCCAGCAGCCGCGGUAAUACGUAGGGUGCAAGCGUUAAUCGGAAUUACUGGGCGUAAAGCGUGCGCAGGCGGUUCGGAAAGAAAGAUGUGAAAUCCCAGAGCUUAACUUUGGAACCGCAUUUUUAACUACCGAGCUAGAGUGUGUCAGAGGGAGGUGAACGCGCAGCAAGGGUUGACAUGGUGAUGAACACCGAUGGCUAGCCAAGCCUCCCGGGGAUAACAUCAUCAGCCACGACCAAGCGUGGGGAACGAUUAGAUACCUGGCAGAACCACGCCCUAAACGAUGUCAACUAGCUGUUGGGGCCUUCGGCCUGGUAGCGCAGCUAACGCGUGAAGUUGACCGCCUCGGGAGUACGGUCGCAAGAUUAAAACUCAAAGGAAUUGAUUUGGACCCGCACAAGCGGUGGAUGAUGUGGAUUAAUUGAUAACGCUGAAAACCUUUACCUACCCUUGACAUGUCUGGAAUCCCGAAGAGAUUUGGGAGUGCUCGCAAGAGAACGAACACAGGUGCUGCAUGGCUGUCGUCAGUCGCUGUGCUGUGAGAUGUUGGGUUAAGUCCCGCAACGAGCACAACCCUUGUCAUUAGUUGCUACGAAAGUGGCACUCUAAUGAGACUGCCGUGGUGACAAAACCGAGGAAGGUGGGGAUGACGUCAAUCCUCAUGGCCCUUAGUGGGUAGGGCUUCACACGUCAUACAAUGGUUUGGGAUGAGGGUCGCCAACCCGCGAGGGGGAGCCAAUCCCAGAAACCCGGAUCAGUCCGGAUCGCAGUCUGCAACUCGACUUCUCUGCGUGAAGUCGGAAUCGCUAGUAAUCGCGGAUCAGCAUGUCGCGGUGAAUACGUCUGGCCCGGUACACACCGCCCGUCGCACCAUGCGGGGAGGUCGGCGUAGUUAGCCUAACCGUAAGGAGGGCGAUUACCACGGUAGAUUCAGACUGGGGUGAAGUCGUAACAAGGCAG